GCUUGCUUCAGCAUCGCAUAUACUAAAAUUGGAAUGAUACAGAGAAGAUUAGCAUGGACCCUGUGCAAGGAUGCAACGCAAAUUUGUGAAGUGUUCCAUACUUUU